rnacentral:lncRNA from 1 species
UUUUUUUUUCAAUAAAUAAAGUACUAUAAAUGCUCUUCCUUAAGAUUUUCUUAAAAACGUUUUCCUUUCUUUGGCUUACUUUAUUGUAAGAAUACAGCAUAUAAUGCAUAGAACAUACAAAAUAUAUGUUGACUGUAUGUUAUCAGUAAGGCUUCCAGUCAACAGUAGGUCAUUAGUUUAGUGUGGGGGAGGUCAAAACUUUACGUGGAUUUUUGACUGUGGGGGGGGGGUCGGCACUCUUACCCUUAGAUUAAUCAAAGGCCAACUGUACAUUUAUCAACUUCCAUAAAUUUAACAUUGAUACUGAUUUGCCAUUUGUCUUCUAAUUCAGUUAAGUUAUACAAUAAUAUCUUUGCUAUCACUUUGCCCUUCCAGUACAGGAACCAGUCUGGGGUCAGGUAUUAAAUUCAGCUGUCAUGUCUCUUUAAUUGCUUUUAAUCUGGAACAUUGCCACAGCCUUUCUUUGCAUUUAAUGACUUUGACAUUUUUGCCUAAAAUACUAACAGUCUCUCCCCUUUAAAAAGAAAAAAAAAAAAAAGAAUGUUCCUUUUCUGAAUUUGUCUGAAGUUUCCUCAGGGUUAAAUCCCAGUUAUGCUUUCCUAGAUGGCAAACCACAUUCAUGAUGUUGUGUUCUCAGUGGAUCCCAUCUGGAAGCACAUGCUGGCCAUCUGUCUCUCGUCACUGAUGUGAAUUUUGAUCACUCAGUGAAGGAAGAUGUCAUCCAGUCUCUGUACCCCAUAGUUACCAUUUUCCCCUUUGUAACUAAGUGAGCAGUCUUAGGGGAAACACUUCAAGACCAUGCAAGGAUCUUUUUAACAUUUCCCAGCUAUUAGAAAUGACAAAUACCCACCAUUUGCUUCAACGUGGAUGGAACUGGAGGGUAAUAUGCUGAGUGAAGUAAGUCAGUCGGAGAAGGACAAACAUUAUAUGUUCUCAUUCAUUUGGGGAAUAUAAAUAAUAGUGAAAGGGAAUAUAAGGGAAGGGAGAAGAAAUGUGUGGGAAAUAUCAGAAAGGGAGACAGAAGGUAAAGACUGCUAACUCUGGGAAACGAACUAGGGGUGGUAGAAGGGGAGGAGGGCGGGGGGUGGGAGUGAAUGGGUGACGGGCACUGGGGGUUAUUCUGUAUGUUAGUAAAUUGAACACCAAUAAAAAAUAAAAAAAAAUAAAAAUAAAACAUUUCCCCCUUUAUUUAGCAUCUGAUAGUCAUUUUUGCCUGAAUCAGUCUAUAGUAUGAUGCUUGCAAAAUGAUUUUUUCCAACUCUGGCCUUCCUUCCACAUUUACCAUCAACACUCAAUGUGGUCCUGUGAGCAAGAGCUUCUCCCUUUCUGCCCACUUACUUAUCAGUAUGGACUCAUAGAUUCCUACAUUGUUCACUGUUUUCAAACUCAUCACUGUCCUUAUUUUGGUGCUCAAACUUACCCUAUUUUGCUAGUGGGAGCCUCUUUGGGUUAGCCCCUGUGUCCUUGAAAUGGGAUCUACCAGGUUCCUUUUUUAGCAUUAUUUUACUUUCUGGCACAAGAAGAUGUUCCGGCCUCAUCUUGUACCUUCCCUGCUUCAGCUAUAGAAUCAGCCAUUUUGCCAAGGAGCUCCGGUUCUUUUCAGCACAGAGUUUAAGUGUUUAGAAACCAAGUUCUGGGUACUAAUUGUAUUUCUUGCUAUGAGGGUGUCACUGCUCCUAGGAAGUGUAAAUAUAUAUAUAUAUAUAUAUAUAUAUAUAGUAUAACAUAUAUAAAUAUAUACUAAUAACUAUAAAUAUAUUUAUACACACACACAAAAGCUAUCCGAAUUAGCAGAUAAAAAUUCUGGAUACCCAGUUAUAUUUGAAUUUCAGAUAAACAUUGAAAAACUUAGUAGAAAUAUAUCCCAUGCAAUAUAUGAGACAUGAUCUGUACCAAAACAUUAUUAACAUUAUUUGUUGCACAGCUGAAAUUCAAUUUUUAAAAGUAAGCUCUAUACUCAACAUGGGGUUUGAACUUAAGACCCCAAGAUCAAGAGUUGCUUGCUCUACUGACUAAGCCAGCCAGGUGCCCCAGCUGAAAUUCAAACUUAACUGAGCAUCUUGUAUUUUAUCUGGCAAUCCUAAUACAUACAAACAUAUAAAGUACAUACAUAUAAAUGUACACAUACACAUGCAGAGACACACAUAUAUACACAUGUUUUAGAGAUCAUGAGCUCACAUAGAUAUGUAAGCUGAUUC